rnacentral:rRNA from 1 species
UACGUAGGGUGCAAGCGUUAAUCGGAAUUACUGGGCGUAAAGCGUGCGCAGGCGGUUGUGCAAGGCCGAUGUGAAAUCCCCGGGCUCAACCUGGGAAUUGCAUUUGUGACUGCACGGCUAGAGUGUGUCAGAGGGGGGUAGAAUUCCACGUGUAGCAGUGAAAUGCGUAGAGAUGUGGAGGAAUACCGAUGGCGAAGGCAGCCCCCUGGGAUAACACUGACGCUCAUGCACGAAGGCGUGGGGAGCAAACAGG